rnacentral:rRNA from 1 species
ACGGGAGGCAGCAGUGGGGAAUAUUGCACAAUGGGCGCAAGCCUGAUGCAGCGACGCCGCGUGAGGGAUGACGGCCUUCGGGUUGUAAACCUCUUUCAGCUCCGACGAAGCGAAAGUGACGGUAGGGGCAGAAGAAGCGCCGGCCAACUACGUGCCAGCAGCCGCGGUAAGACGUAGGGCGCAAGCGUUGUCCGGAUUUAUUGGGCGUAAAGAGCUCGUAGGCGGCUGGUCGCGUCGACUGUGAAAACCCGCGGCUCAACCGUGUGGUCUGCAGUCGAUACGGGCUGGCUGGAGUUCGGUAGGGGAGACUGGAAUUCCUGGUGUAGCGGUGAAAUGCGCAGAUAUCAGGAGGAACACCGGUGGCGAAGGCGGGUCUCUGGGCCGAUACUGACGCUGAGGAGCGAAAGCGUGGGGAGCGAACAGGAUUAGAUACCCUGGUA